UUUGUCCCAGGCCUUACCCCUGAUAUGAUAUGAUGUGAUAAGAGCCAAUGGGAUUUUGUUUUUCUACAUGAGUAUCUUGGAUGUCACAUGUGAGAGAGCCAAAACAAAUGUAUUUAUUUUUUUCUGUUCAUUAAGGAGAAGGGGGCAUCUGUCCCUGCCCUUUCUCAGAAGGUCUCCUUCUUCCAACCCUUUGGCAGGCAAAUAGAAUCUCUCCAUGAGCCAGACAGUCUGCAGGGUCCUUGGGUUUCAUUCUUCGUUGAAAUUAACUACCUAGGAAGAUGAAGCACCGGCCUCUCGGCUACCUUGGGAGCAUAACCUGGAGACCUAGCCCUUGUUGUGUCCUAAACAUUGGGCCGUCUUGAUAUUACCCACUUUGCCUUUCCUUUUGCAUUUGAAGUGUUUGGAAAUACAGUCAUAGACCACAUAAUGACAGUCUGCAUAUGCAACGGUGGUCCCAUAAGACAUAAGAUUAUAAUGGAGCUUUUAUUGUCCCUGAAGACCUUCCAGUGACACAAAACGUGGAGGUGGAAGACAGUGAUAUUGAUGAUCUUGACCCCGGGUGAAGAUGCAAUGAGAAAGCACAGUCUUUGAAGCAAGAGAGAGCCCUUACGAGAUGCUGAAUCCGCUAGUGCCUUGACAUGGGACUUUCCAACCUUCAAAACUGUGAGAAACAAAUUUCUAUUGUUUAUAAAUUACCCUAUGGGAAGUAUUUUGUUAUAGUAGCACUAAUAGACUAAGACAGAACUCAAGCAUACAAUUAUAUUUCAGAGUACAUCAAAGUUGAAGUUGACAGCUUAUCAAAUUAGCCACCAGCUGAAGUGCAAAAAAGAACAUUAAAAUCAUCUUUAUUAUCUUUGAAUUCUCAGAAGCCUCUGAUCUCAUACUUACAUUUCUUGAAAUAUAUCUUUUUUUUUUUCCUUUGAGAUGGGUUUUCAGUCUGUCACCCAGGCUGGAGUGCAGUGGCAUGAUCAUGGCUCACUGCAACCUUGGCUUCCCAGGCUCAAGGGAUCCUCCCACUUCAGCCUCCCAAGUAGCUGGGAUGACAGGUGCAGGCCAUCAUGCCUAGAUAAUAUUUGUAUUUUUUGUAGAGACAAGGUUUUACCCUGUUGCCCAGGCUGGUCUCAAACUCCUGGGGUCAAGUGAUUCACCCCUUCGGCUUCCCAAAGUGCUGGGAUUACAGGCAUGAAACACUGCACCUGGCUAAAAUAUAUCAUUCUAGAUGUAGAAAUAUGAGGAAAGUGUUGAGGUAGAAUCAUCCCACAGGAAGGGCAUUUUAAAUUUGUUACAGUUGUCAAAUCACUUUCCCCAAGAUGAAUUUUUGUCAGUGUAAAGGACCAAGGCUGGAGUAGAAGCUCUGUGGUUUUGGUGAGAAUCACUGGACGGAAAGACACAUGAAGAUUACAGAAAAAUGUUUAACAGUCAAGAGCCUCUUAAACAUUGGUUUCCAAUGUAUCGCUCUCAACAGACACACAUAUGUACACAGAUAAAAUAAAUUAAAAAUGUAAAAAUCUAUAGAAUGUAUAAAAUAUUAUAACUAUCAAGUUAGUUUAGCAAUAUUACUGAAUACGCAAUGUAGAAAAAUAGAUGCAUGUUUAUAUCUUAGUAAUAAAGAAUAAGAAAAGUGAGAAAAAUACAUAAUAUUUAAAUAUCUAAGGUAUCUAAAUAUCUAAAUAUCAUUAUAUCUAAGGAUAAAUUUUUAAAAUCUGUAAUACCUAUGCACUUAAAGCUAUAAAACAUUACAGAAAUAAUGUUAGAUAAAGAAUAUCUAAAUAAGUGAGGAGAUAUACUCUCUUCAUGGAUCACUCAAUAUUUUUAAGAUGCCUCUUCUCUCCAAUUGAAUCUCUACAUCCAGUUGAUUGUAGUCAAAAUCCCUGCAGACUUUACUAUAGCAGUAGACAAGCUGAUUCUAAAAGUCAUACAGAAAUGCAAAGGAUCUAGAAUAGCUAACAACACUUUGAACAAGAAGAACAUAGUGGAAGGAUGGAUAGGAUCUGAUUUCAAGACCUCUUUCCACGGAGACACACAUUAUUCUUCUCAGCCCUAGAAGAUGGUAUUGGGAUUGCACCGUCUUCGACAUUCUUUUGUGACUUCUCUGUUUCUUUUACUCUCUCUCUCUUUUUCUGUCAUUAACAGAGGCAAUGUUUACAAACUACAAAGCAUAGACCUUACCUAUAUAGUUUGAUGAGCUUUGACAAGUGAAUACACUUAUUUAACCAACUACAAAAAAUUAGAAUAUUUUAAUGCCCUAAAAAUUUUCUCCGCAUUUGUUCUUUUUUUAGAUAUUUGUUUUGGAUAUGAUAGAUCUUUUACAGCUCCAUAUAUGUCUAAGGAUAAAAUGGUUAGUCUUUACAAAAGCAAACAAAAAAUCUGGGAGUCUGAUACAGAUUGCAGUAAUACAGAGAUCAAAUUAAAGACAAAUAAUAGUUUAAGAAUGUAGUCAUACAACCCAUAAGUAUGGUAUAUAUCUCUGUUUAAACCAGGGAAUGACAGGCUUUUUCUCUAAAAAUCAGAAAUAAAAUAUUUAAGUAUUGUGUGUCACGUAUUUUUUUCUGUCAUAGGCAGAUAGACCAUUAGAUGGAGAUGUGUAGAUAUCUCCUUAAAAUUUAAAAAAAAAAAAUGUGCUUUGCUUGUGGACCACACUUAAACAGGCAAUAGGCCAGAUUGCUCUGCAGGCCAUAGUUUGCCAGCUUCUGAUUUAGAUCAUUUUAAAUUACAGUUUACAACAU
rnacentral:lncRNA from 1 species